AACAGGAUUAGAUACCCUGGUAGUCCACGCCCUAAACGAUGUCAACUAGCUGUUGGGGACUUCGGUCCUUGGUAGCGCAGCUAACGCGUGAAGUUGACCGCCUGGGGAGUACGGUCGCAAGAUUAAAACUCAAAGGAAUUGACGGGGACCCGCACAAGCGGUGGAUGAUGUGGAUUAAUUCGAUGCAACGCGAAAAACCCUACCUACCCUUGACAUGUCUGGAAUCCCGAAGAGAUUUGGGAGUGCUCGCAAGAGAACCGGAACACAGGUGCUGCAUGGCUGUCGUCAGCUCGUGUCGUGAGAUGUUGGGUUAAGUCCCGCAACGAGCGCAACCCUUGUCAUUAGUUGCUACGAAAGGGCACUCUAAUGAGACUGCCGGUGACAAACCGGAGGAAGGUGGGGAUGACGUCAAGUCCUCAUGGCCCUUAUGGGUAGGGCUUCACACGUCAUACAACGGUCGGGACAGAGGGUCGCCAACCCGCGAGGGGGAGCCAAUCCCAGAAACCCGAUCGUAGUCCGGAUCGCAGUCUGCAACUCGACUGCGUGAAGUCGGAAUCGCUAGUAAUCGCGGAUCAGCAUGUCGCGGUGAAUACGUUCCCGGGUCUUGUACACACCGCCCGUCACACCAUGGGAGUGGGUUCUACCAGAAGUAGUUAGCCUAACCGCAAGGGGGGCGAUUACCACGGUAGGGUUCAUGACUGGGGUGAAGUCGUAACAAGGUAACC
rnacentral:rRNA from 1 species